rnacentral:tRNA from 1 species
GUUGGAAUAGCUCAGUUGGUUAGAGCAUGUAGUUGUUAACCACAAGGUCGGAGGUUUCGAGCCAUCCUAGCGUUU